rnacentral:rRNA from 1 species
UAAGGGCGCACGGUGGAUGCCUUGGCACUAGAAGCCGAUGAAGGACGUUACUAACGACGAUAUGCUUUGGGGAGCUGUAAGUAAGCUUUGAUCCAGAGAUUUCCGAAUGGGGAAACCCAGCAUGAGUUAUGUCAUGUUAUCGAUAUGUGAAUACAUAGCAUAUCAGAAGGCACACCCGGAGAACUGAAACAUCUUAGUACCCGGAGGAAGAGAAAGAAAAUUCGAUUCCCUUAGUAGCGGCGAGCGAAACGGGAAGAGCCCAAACCAACAAGCUUGCUUGUUGGGGUUGUAGGACACUCUAUACGGAGUUACAAAGGACGACAUUAGACGAAUCAUCUGGAAAGAUGAAUCAAAGAAGGUAAUAAUCCUGUAGUCGAAAAUGUUGUCUCUCUUGA